rnacentral:rRNA from 1 species
AUGAACGCUGGCGGCGUGCUUAACACAUGCAAGUCGAACGAAGCAUUUGCGACAGAUUUUUUCGGAAUGAAGUUGCUUAUGACUGAGUGGCGGACGGGUGAGUAACGCGUGGGUAACCUGCCUUGUACUGGGGGAUAGCAGCUGGAAACGGCUGGUAAUACCGCAUAAGCGCACAAUGUUGCAUGACAUGGUGUGAAAAACUCCGGUGGUAUAAGAUGGACCCGCGUCUGAUUAGCUAGUUGGUGAGAUAACAGCCCACCAAGGCGACGAUCAGUAGCCGACCUGAGAGGGUGACCGGCCACAUUGGGACUGAGACACGGCCCAGACUCCUACGGGAAGCAGCAGUGGGGAAUAUUGCACAAUGGAGGAAACUCUGAUGCAGCGACGCCGCGUGAGUGAAGAAGUAAUUCGUUAUGUAAAGCUCUAUCAGCAGGGAAGAUAGUGACGGUACCUGACUAAGAAGCUCCGGCUAAAUACGUG